rnacentral:rRNA from 1 species
CAGUAGCCGCGGUAAUACGAAGGGUGCAAGCGUUAAUCGGAAUUACUGGGCGUAAAGCGUGCGUAGGCGGUGAGUUAAGUCUGCUGUGAAAUCCCCGGGCUCAACCUGGGAAUGGCAGUGGAUACUGGCUCGCUAGAGUGUGUCAGAGGAUGGUGGAAUUCCCGGUGUAGCGGUGAAAUGCGUAGAGAUCGGGAGGAACAUCAGUGGCGAAGGCGGCCAUCUGGGACAACACUGACGCUGAGGCACGAAGGCGUGGGGAGCAAACAGGAUUAGAUACCCCAGUAGUCCCUGUCUCUUAUAC